rnacentral:rRNA from 1 species
GAUGAACGCUAGCGGAAGGCUUAAUACAUGCAAGUCGAGCGGUAGAUGGUUUCGGCCAUUGAGAGCGGCGCACGGGUGAGUAACGCGUACAUGACCUGCCUGUCAGAAGGGGAUAGCCCUGGGAAACUGGGAUUAAUACCCUAUGGUAUUGAUAUUAUAGAUGGUAUCAAUUAAAGCUGAGGCGCUGACAGAUGGAUGUGCGUCUGAUUAGCUAGUUGGUAGGGUAACGGCCUACCAAGGCGACGAUCAGUAGGGGGCGUGAGAGCGUGGUCCCCCACACGGGUACUGAGACACGGACCCGACUCCUACGGGAGGCAGCAGUAAGGAAUAUUGGUCAAUGGUGGGAACACUGAACCAGCCAUUCCGCGUGCAGGAAGAAGGGUCUCUGACUUGUAAACUGCUUUAGCAAGGGAAGAAGAGGCUCAUGCGUGAGAAGUUGACGGUACCUUGAGAAUAAGCACCGGCUAACUACGUGCCAGCCGCCCCGUAAGAC